rnacentral:rRNA from 1 species
UAUAGUUUAUUUGAUAGUGACUUGCUACAUGGAUAACCGUAGUAAUUCUAGAGCUAAUACAUGCCAAAAAGGCCUGACCGUAUGGAAGGGUCGUAUUUAUUAGAUAAAAAACCAAUCUCGCAAGAGUUUUGUGGUGAUUCAUAAUAACUGUUCGAAUCGCAUACCGCAAGGUGGCGAUAGAUCAUUCAAAUUUCUGCCCUAUCAGCUCUCGACGGUAGUGUAGUGGACUACCGUGGCAUUAACGGGUAACGGAGAAUUAGGGUUCGAUUCCGGAGAGGGAGCCUGAGAAACGGCUACCACAUCCAAGGAAGGCAGCAGGCGCGCAAAUUACCCAAUCCUGAUACAGGGAGGUAGUGACAAAAAAUAACAAUACCGGGCGUUUUACGUCUGGUAAUUGGAAUGAGUACAAUUUAAAUCCCUUGACGAGGAACAAUUGGAGGGCAAGUCUGGUGCCAGCAGCCGCGGUAAUUCCAGCUCCAAUAGCGUAUAUUAAAGUUGUUGCAGUUAAAAAGCUCGUAGUUGGAUUUCUGGUACGAUGCGCUUGGCCCGUAUGGUUCUGCCAUACGCGUGUCGACGUGCGUCUGCCAUCCUUCCAGUUAACGGCCGAUACUUCACUGUAUGGGUCGCGAUCUGGAUCUUUUACUUUGAAAAAAUUAGAGUGUUUAAAGCAAGCUUGCGCUAUGAAUACAUUAGCAUGGAAUAAUAAUUUAGGACUUUAUUCCUAUUUUAUUGGUUUCUAGGAGUGAAGUAAUGAUUGAUAGGGAUAGUUGGGGGUGCUAGUAUUCAUCGGCCAGAGGUGAAAUUCUUGGAUUCGAUGAAGACUAACUAAUGCGAAAGCAUUCACCAAGGAUGUCUUCUUUAAUCAAGAACGAAAGUUGGGGGAUCGAAGACGAUCAGAUACCGUCGUAGUCUCAACCAUAAACUAUACCGACUAGGGAUUAGCGGAUGCUCGUUUUGGGCGCCGUUAGCACCUUAUGAGAAAUCAGAAGUCUUUGGGUUCUGGGGGGAGUAUGGUCGCAAGGCUGAAACUUAAAGGAA